CAGCACUGAAGACCAUUAAUAUUAGGAGCUUCCGAAGUACACUCGCUGGAUGGAUUAUCAGUGGAGAGUGGAGCGAUAACCAGGCUGGGGAAGCUUGCCUUUCCUGUAAGCAGUGGAGUGAUGAUGAAGCUGGUUGGUGGCACUAUUUGAACAGUGGAGUGCUGAAGCUGGUGCGGUGAUGAAGCUCUAAGUAUCAUGGCAUGAAGGAAGCCUGCUGUCCAAUAGCCCACUCUCUCUCUCCAGCAUAUCCAUGGCAUUUGGAUCCAUGAAGGAGGCAUCGGUCCUAGUUCGGAAUAGCUCCUUGAUUUGUUGGACUAAAUCGAAGGCUUCUUUUGAAGGCCGACUGAGUAGACCGGGCUUAAACUCCUUCAGCUUGAGUAAAACACUAUGCUUUACUUCAGGACUGUCAUCACUGUGCUUAAUUGCAUUUUGGAAAUCACCACAAAUUUUUGAAUAUUUAAUGACUUUAUUGACAAUGAAGCCUGUCAGGUGGUAGAGAGCACUUGUCUCAGUUUUUGUGAGAUCAGGAGCAGCUCUGCGCUCCAUCAGCUCCUCCACUCUGAAGCCAGGACUGGGAAAUGCCUGCUUGGUGUCCAGGAAGUCUGCCAAAAGGCUGUUGUCAUCCUCCUGGUAGUUUCCUGAUUUUACGUUCGCAAGAAACUGCCCAACAGAUAUUGAUCUCAGUGCCUGGUGAAACUCUACUGGAGUCGGAACUGGAUUUCUCUGUCUUAUGCAGCUGAAAAGAUUUUCA
ensembl:lncRNA